GCAGAAGUGAAGCCAGCAUAAUAAAAAUUCAGCCUUAAAGGAGAACAUGUGGAAAAAUCAUCCCCAGCAUUGGUGUAACAACGUGUGAAGGACUGUGUGGCCCAUCGGGAGGGGUUUCAUGACAUGCCUGGCUUACUGGAGUUGUACAACCUUCCCCUUGCUCCAUGUCAGUAUGAUUUCCCUGAUUUCCUACCUUAAUUCCUCCUGCAACAAGGCUGCAGUGUGACCUCUGCCUAUGUUUGGCACCAGGGCCCAUGAGGGAAAGAGCAGAUGCAGAGGGUUUCACUUGCAUUUUGCUUUUUGUAUACGUGAAGGAGUCUGGCCAUGAGACACUGGAGAGGAGGCUGAAUUAGUCCAGCUGUUGGUGGACCUGGAUAUCAUCAGGGAUAAUUCUUUGCCGAAGUUCACAUGCUUGCUUGACCAGUAGGACUGACCCCCUCCCCUCCCUCUCCUGAGCUCAGCAUGAGUUAAAGCACCAUGCUGCUUUCCUUCUUUCUGUAUCAUUUUCAUGGAUUUCAUUCUCUGUUUUUAAAGGGAUAAUACAGCUUCCCAGUGUGAACAAGACUAAAACAUUAGGUCAUAGCCUCCUUGGCCUUCAUCCCAGUCCAGCAGUGGCAGACAACAGACUUACACAGGGGACUAACUCAAGGAACUCAAUGAAACAAAAAAGUGACGGGGUUGCAGUGACUCCUCCCCUGCUUGCUGCAGGACUGGGAGUAGUGGUCCCAGCUCAUGCUGCAGCAGCAGCAGCAGGUAAUGUACGCAUCCAGUAAAUCUGAGACUUCUUGUAAAGCGCAGAGCAUAACAGGGCAAGGUGACUGUAAGAUAUGAAAACAUCUGGGCACAGUGAAUGGGCACUUGGGACAGAGGGUGAUUUAAUGGUUUCAGGCUGCAGCAUUCACUCCAGAAAUACUUUGAAUCUCCUGGGGUCCAUGAGAAGCAGAUGUGAUGGGUAGGACCAGUGCUGCAGGAACAGUUAUUUAAGGAAAGAUUUUGAUUUUGUCUCACGUUUAUCUGCAGCUGGCUCUGGCUCAACUGGGGCUGGUAAACCUAUGUGCUGGGUGUGUUACCCAGUGCUGCACAAUUGGGGGAAUGAAAUAUGGCUUAGAGAGGCCUGGGCUAUGUUACUGCUGUUUUGGGGAUCACUGAUCAAAUUGUUCUCCACUUUCCAAAUGCAGGAGAAAAUCCUGCAUGUGGCUGCACCUGCAGUGCUCGGCUGUGUUACAGCCGUCUCAUGGAAGAAGAGGAAGGUGGUAAGGAUGGAAUUGAGAGGAGCUCUCUGGGUAGAGGAAACUGCAGGCACUGAGAUGUUCCCACUCACUUCCCAGGACAGGUAUGAAAAUGCCAGGGUAUGCCAAUGUAUCAGAAUAGUCUAGCACCAUCCUUUGGGUUCCCCUUCACAGGUUAAGGCUGAGUAGUCUUCUGUUUCCUUUCCACAACAGAUCUCUGAAAAAAAAGUUUCCUUUUUAAAUUAAUGUUGAGGAGUAUGGGAGUUCAGUAACCGAUAUGUGAGCAGCUGGGUCAGAGAUGUGAUGCAAGAGCUAUCCCACCAGCUGUUCCUGUGCAACAGAAAACACUGUGUGAACAUGCCCUGACCAAACGGGUCAUGCUUUGAAUGCAUUUUUUCUGCUCUCUUUGAUUGUUUGAAGUAGUUUAUGAAAAAUAAAUUGUUUUUGCAUCUAA
ensembl:lncRNA